AACGGCCAUACCAUGCUGAAUAUACCGGUUUUCGUUAGAUCACCGAAGUCAAGCAUCAUUGGGCGUUGUCAGUACUUGGGUGGGUGACCACCUGGGAACACCGCGUGCCGUU
rnacentral:rRNA from 1 species